GACGAACGCUGGCGGCGUGCUUAACACAUGCAAGUCAGGGAGAACGGUGUCCUUCGGGAUGCCUAGUAAACCGGCAAACGGGUGAGUAACACGUAGGUAACUUGCCUUUGGGUUUGGGAUAACCUCGCUAACGCGGGGGUAAGUUCCGAAUAAUGCAGCGGAUCCGCAUGGAUAUGUUGUUAAAGCGGCGAUGACUUGUCAUCGUCGCGCCUAAAGAUGGACCUGCGCCCCA
rnacentral:rRNA from 1 species